rnacentral:rRNA from 1 species
AUUGAACGCUGGCGGCAGGCCUAACACAUGCAAGUCGAGCGGAGCGGCGGACGGGUGAGUAAUGCCUAGGAAUCUGACUGGUCGUGGGGGAUAACGUCCGGUAAUGGGCGCUAAUACCGCAUACUCUCAGCUGAGCCUAGGUCGGAUUAGCUUGUUGGAGGGGGAAGGGCCUACCAUGGCGACGAUCCGUAACUGGUCUGAGAGGAUGAUCAGUCACACUGGAACUGAGACACGUUCCAGACGCCGACGGGAGGCAGCAGUGGGGAAUAUUGGACAAUGGGCGAAAGCCUGAUCCAGCCAUGCCGCGUGUGUGAAGAAGGUCUUCGGAUUGUAAAGCACUUUAAGUUGGGAGGCGUUACCAACAGAAUAAGCACCGGCUAACUUCGUGCCAGCCGCCGCGGUAAUAC